rnacentral:lncRNA from 1 species
UUCACACACUCCCUAUCGUAUAUAUAUAUAUAUGCUUACACAUAUUCAUAUACACACAUACUCUAUGGUGUUGCAUAUAUAUGUAUAUAUACUAUAUACACACAUAGGUUUGAGAAUGAUGUUGGUUGUUGACAGAAGAUAGAGAGCACUAAGGAUGACAUGCAAGUGCAUACAUAUAUUUAUCAUCACACCGCAUGUACGUGGAUGAUAAAAUAUGUUAAACAUAUUCAAGAGAGAGAGAGGGAGAAGCAGAGAGAAAAAGAGCCUGCAUCUCUACUCUUUUGUGCUCUCUAUACUUCUGUCACCACCUUUAUAUUCUUCCUCUUUCUUACCUAUAUACACACAUGCACAUCUAUAUAGACAUCAUAUAUAUACUUUCGUAUCUAUAUAUGCAUAAUGUUUACAAGGUGCAUGCAUUUCAUAUAUCACAUUCACAUAUAUAUGAAGUGAUUUCAUUUUAGUAAACGUUUACUUUCUCCCCAUUACUUUAGCGCCAGUAAAGCUUUGUCGUUUCUGCUGUAAUUUUGAUCUAUCAUACACAUCAUCCAAUAUAGUGCUAUGAGCAUCCACUAGCACAAUAUUAUAUGCAAUUUGUUCAUUCUUUGAGAAUUUUUUCAUAUCAUAUGCUAUUCAAGGAGGACAUAUAUACAAACUUGCAAUGUGAAUCAGUGUCUUAUACAGGCUCUUUUUUUAAUAAAAAACUUUCUUUGAUUCAUUUGGCAGGGUUUCAACUUUCAAGAAGCUUCACUGACAUGGAACAACAACGAUCAGGAUGACGCUGUCUAACAUUGCUAUCUUAAUCCAGAUCUUCUAAGCAAAUUUCAAUAGUAAUUCUGUUCCGCAAACUAUCUAGUGUAAAAAAUGAUCUCUGGUUUGACCAAACAUAACGAAACAAUUUGUUGAAUUGAGAUACUAUUGAGGCAAGGAGGUUGGAUGGAUGAAAAAAGAGUAAAAGUUCUAAAAUUGGACACAAAACAGAAAGUGGAAGAAGAAUAAAAUAUCAUGGUUUUUCUUCUUCUAGGCAAGUGGAUACAAUGUCUAUUUCUGUCUAUAAAUUCAGUAAAACUAAAUAUCGUACAAAAGAAAAAGUUAUCAUAUUCUUUCACACUUUAGU